UACGUAGGGGGCUAGCGUUGCUCGGAAUCACUGGGCGUAAAGGGUGCGUAGGCGGGUCUUUAAGUCAGGGGUGAAAUCCUGGGGCUCAACUCCAGAACUGCCUUUGAUACUGAGGAUCUUGAGUUCGGGAGAGGUGAGUGGAACUGCGAGUGUAGAGGUGAAAUUCGUAGAUAUUCGCAAGAACACCAGUGGCGAAGGCGGCUCACUGGCCCGAUACUGACGCUGAGGCACGAAAGCGUGGGGAGCAAACAGG
rnacentral:rRNA from 1 species